rnacentral:sRNA from 1 species
UUGCUAUCUGCGAUUUGAACGAUUCGAACCUGCCGCAGGUUCGAGCCGAACAACGUGAGGCAGCGGAGCCGUUUACGGCGACGACCCGAAGGGCGAGCGAAGCGAGUCAUCCUGCACGACCCACCA